rnacentral:rRNA from 1 species
UUGAACGCUGGCGGCAUGCCUUACACAUGCAAGUCGAACGGUAACAGGUCUUCGGAUGCUGACGAGUGGCGAACGGGUGAGUAAUACAUCGGAACGUGCCCGAUCGUGGGGGAUAACGGAGCGAAAGCUUUGCUAAUACCGCAUACGAUCUACGGAUGAAAGCAGGGGACCGCAAGGCCUUGCGCUAUUGGAGCGGCCGAUGUCAGAUUAGCUAGUUGGUGGGGUAAAAGCCUACCAAGGCGACGAUCUGUAGCUGGUCUGAGAGGACGACCAGCCACACUGGGACUGAGACACGGCCCAGACUCCUACGGGAGGCAGCAGUGGGGAAUUUUGGACAAUGGGCGCAAGCCUGAUCCAGCCAUGCCGCGUGCGGGAAGAAGGCCUUCGGGUUGUAAACCGCUUUUGUCAGGGAAGAAACGGUCUGGGCUAAUACCCUGGGCUAAUGACGGUACCUGAAGAAUAAGCACCGGCUAACUACGU